GAUGUCAAUUCACUUGGAUGAAAAUGAUCUUCUAUACUUAGUGUACUGAUUCAAAUCCUAAUGUCUUUCAGAAACACCUUCACAGACACAACUAGAAAGACUAUCUGGGCAUUUCUUAGCCCAGUCGGGAUGGCAUACAAAGUCAAUCAUCACAUUUUGAAAAGUAUACAGAAUGAAUCAGACAUAAAAGAAUGGAGAAUAAGCGAAUUGUAUACAAAUGGUAAGAGAAAGCAGCUUGACCUCAAUCUAUUCAUGAAAAAACAUCAGGUAAACUCACACUGUGGAGCAUUCUACAAAACGCCUGAGCAGUGCCGUUUAGAAGUGUCAAGGUCCUGUGAAACAAGGAAAGACUAAGAAACUGGCAGAGAUUGGAGGAGAUUAUGCAGAUGUGGCAAAUAAUACUCUGGAUUGCUACUGGAAUAGAACAAAGGAAAUUGACGGUCACAUGAAUUCCAAGUAAGGAUUUUAGUU
rnacentral:lncRNA from 1 species